CUUAAAACGGAGGUUGAAUCAGCCUAGGAGGUUUUCCUUGUGAAUGUGCUUUUAAUGUUCAUGGGCUUGUUGCAGUGCUGCCAACAGUGUUAAAAAUAACAGACCAAGACUGACCUGUCGGAUUCGUGUUUUCAAUCUGAUCUUACAGCUUUGAUGACAGAAAAGCAGCGUUUUCAUUGUAAAAGUAGAUUUCUGAUUCUGCAGUGAUCAGUUUAAAAAGAGGCAUGAAGAAGAUAAGCAGGACCUGCAUUAAAUUUUGGGAGCUGGUAAAAAGACUUUCUGUUUCUGUUUGCAGAGUAAAAAACU